CUAGCUGUAAACGAUGUGAACUUGGCGUUGGUGGGUUUAAAUCCAUCAGUGCCGAAGCUAACGCGAUAAGUUCACCGCCUGGGGACUACGGCCGCAAGGUUAAAACUCAAAGGAAUUGACGGGGCCCCGCACAAGCAGCGGAGCGUGUGGUUUAAUUCGAUGCUACACGAAGAACCUUACCAGGGUUUGACAUGCAAGUGGUAGAGAAGCGAAAGCGGAUCGACCCCUCGGGGAGCUUGCACAGGUGC
rnacentral:rRNA from 1 species